rnacentral:rRNA from 1 species
GUGCCAGCAGCCGCGGUAAUACGGGGGGAGCGAGCGUUGUUCGGAAUCACUGGGCGUAAAGGGCGCGUAGGCGGUCGGAUAAGUCAGAGGUGAAAUGCCAGGGCUUAACCUUGGAAUUGCCUUUGAUACUGUCUGGCUAGAGGGCGGAAGAGGAUAGUGGAAUUCCUGGUGUAGCGGUGAAAUGCGUAGAUAUCAGGAAGAACACCGGUGGCGAAGGCGGCUAUCUGGUCCGCUACUGACGCUGAGGCGCGAAAGCCAGGGGAGCAAACGGGAUUAGAAACCCGCGUAGUCC